UGAGGACAUGGGGAAUCAAAGCAGAGGAGGCAACAGAAAUGAAAGCACCCAGUUCCUUUCACCACAUACAGAUGACUUCCUAGUGCUUCUGACCACGGGAUUCCAGGGCAGACAGGGGCAUGAUACUGAUCUCCAUCCUCAUCUGUCCAGAAGGGCACAGAAUGAAAACUCCCUGUCUGGGGGACCUUAUUGAUUUUGUUCACAGCUGAGGUGCUUAGAAUAUUGCCUGGAGCUCAGCCAAAAAUGAACACACCAUUUAUACAGGAUUUCUUCUGAUGGGCUGCAUUCUUCUUAACUGUGCAGCUUCUUAACACACGCAAGCAUGUGACCAGAUGGCCUGCACACCUACACAGGUUCAGCACAUCACCUUUCCUUCUGUUCCCUGAGUACGGGCUACCCAGUCCUGUUCCCAAGGCUUCACAGAAGAUUUGGUGCGAAGAGUUGGGAGAGUAGGAAGAUGAAUAUAUAUUGCAGCAACACGAUCAACUUCCAGUGGAAUAAUAAACCACCUGAAAAUGCCCUGAACAGGAGAGCUCAGGAACCUCUUGACCAGACUCACAUCAACUGGAGUCAACAGACUAAGAACAAAGAAGUUUCCCAAUCGUCCUGGGACGCUUGCUGGCGCCCAGAUGUCUGUGGUCCUCAAUCACCUCUUGCCCCGCCCAUUUCCCUUCCCUUGUCAUAAAAGUAGCCUGAACUCUGUAUUUGAGGCACCACUAGGUCUCCCAUCUCAGCUGGCAUCUUUUUGAUCAAUAAACC